ensembl:lncRNA
CGACCCUCUGACUACCACUACCUCUGACUACCACUACCCUUUACCACGACCCUCUCAUUACCACUACUUGCUGACUACCACUACUUGCUGACUACCACGACCCUCUGACUACCACUACCUCUGUACUAGUUUAACCCGUUAGUCAGAGUGCUGUACUAGUUUAACCCGUUAGUCAGAGUGCUGUACUAGUUUAACUAGUUUAAGUGAUAUCACCCGUUAGUCAGAGUGAUCUACCCGUUAGUCAGAGUGCUGUACUAGUUUAACUAGUUUAAGUGAUAUCACCCGUUAGUGAGAGUGCUGUGCUAGUUUUACUAGUUUAAAUGAUAUCACUGGUUAGUCAGAGUGCUGUACUAGUUAAACUAGUAUCACCCGUUAGUCAGAGUGCUGUACUAGUUUAACCCGUUAUUAGUAGUGCUGUACUAGUUUAACCCAUUAGUCAGAGUGCUGUACUAUGAUCACCCGUUAGUCAGAGUGCUGUACUAGUUUAACUAGUUUAACUGGUAUCACCCGUUAGUCAGAGUGCUGUACUAGUUUAACUAGUUUAACUAGUAUCACCCGUUAGUCAGUGAUCUACCCGUUAGUCAGAGUGCUGUACUAAUUUAAGUGAUGGUUGGUCGUAGUUCUCCAACCUGUAAACUGUAAAGGGAACAGAUCACAUGUUAAUGGUUGAAUAUUUACCCAUGUGGUCAUUUGGUCUGUUCGGUCAUCAGUUUGGAAGCCUUUCUUUCGGCCUCUGGAAGUAACGUGUGAUAUGAAAUACGUAGUUUUCAAACAAUAUGCCGUAAUAUAGAAAUACCUAACAGCCAAUCUGCUUGCUCCUAUCCCUUGACAUGUUCUUCCUGUCAGAUGGAUUAUAGAAGCUGUACUGUAUUGCUGCCAUUAAGUUACUGUACAUUUUACAGGAAAU